rnacentral:rRNA from 1 species
AUGCCUAACACAUGCAAGUCGAACGGCUCUUCGGAGCAGUGGCGCACGGGUGAGUAACGCGUGGGAAUCUACCCUGAGGUUCGGAAUAACGGUUGGAAACGACCGCUAAUACCGGAUGUGCCCUAUGGGGCAAAGGCUUGCCGCCUUGGGAGGAGCCCGCGUCCGAUUAGCUUGUUGGUGGGGUAACGGCCUACCAAGGCGACGAUCGGUAGCUGGUCUGAGAGGAUGAUCAGCCACACUGGGACUGAGACACGGCCCAGACUCCUACGGGAGGCAGCAGUGGGGAAUAUUGGACAAUGGGCGAAAGCCUGAUCCAGCAAUGCCGCGUGUGUGACGAAGGCCUUAGGGUUGUAAAACACUUUCGCCGAUGAC